rnacentral:rRNA from 1 species
GCGCGAAAACUUUACAAUGCGGGAAACCGUGAUAAGGGAACUCCGAGUGCCCGUAAAAUCGGGCUGUCCAUCAGUUUAAAUAACUGGUGAAGAAAGGGCCGGGCAAGACCGGUGCCAGCCGCCGCGGUAAUACCGGCGGCUCGAGUGGUGGCCACUAUUACUGGGCUUAAAGCGUUCGUAGCUGGUCUGUUAAGUCUCUGGGGAAAUCUGCCGGCUUAACCGGCAGGCGUUUUCAGGGAUACUGGCAGACUAGGGACCGGGAGAGGUGAGAGGUACUCCAGGGGUAGGAGUGAAAUCCGUGUAAUCCUUGGGGGACCACCUGUGGCGAAGGCGUCUCACCAGAACGGCUCCGACAGUGAGGGACGAAAGCUGGGGGAGCAAACCGGAUUAGAUACCCGGGUAGUCCCAGCUGUAAACGAUGCGCGUUAGGUGUAUCGGUGACCACGAGUCACCGAGGUGCCGAAGAGAAAUCGUGAAACGUGCCGCCUGGGAAGUACGGUCGCAAGGCUGAAACUUAAAGGAAUUGGACGGGGGUAGCGACCGACGAACGAGGUGGAGCCGUGGUACC